ACACAUGCAAGUCGAGCGAGAAGGUUAUGAUGGAUUCUUCGGAUGACAGAUUAACUGGAAAGCGGCGGACGGGUGAGUAACGCGUGGGUAACCUGCCCUGUACAGAGGAAUAGCCAUUGGAAACGAUGAUUAAUGCCUCAUAAGACUACCAGACCGCAUGGUCUUGUAGUAAAAACUCCGGUGGUACAGGAUGGACCCGCGUUAGAUUAGCUAGUUGGUGAGGUAAUGGCUCACCAAGGCGACGAUCUAUAGCCGACCUGAGAGGGUGAUCGGCCACACUGGAACUGAGACACGGUCCAGACUCCUACGGGAGGCAGCAGUGGGGAAUAUUGCACAAUGGGGGAAACCCUGAUGCAGCAACGCCGCGUGAGUGAUGAAGGCCUUCGGGUCGUAAAACUCUUUUCUUGAGGAAGAAUAAUGACGGUACUCAAGUAAUAAGCCCCGGCUAAUUACGUGCCAGCAGCCGCGGUAAUACGUAAGGGGCAAGCGUUAUCCGGAAUCACUGGGCGUAAAGGGUGCGUAGGUGGUCUUGUAAGUCAGAAGUGAAAGGCUAUGACUCAACCAUAGUAAGCUUUUGAAACUGCAGGACUUGAGUGCAGGAGAGGAAAGUGGAAUUCCUAGUGUAGCGGUGAAAUGCGUAGAUAUUAGGAGGAACCCCCGUGGCGAAGGCGACUUUCUGGACUGUUACUGACACUGAGGCACGAAAGC
rnacentral:rRNA from 1 species